UCCCAACUCCCACCGGUGUCGUCUCGCUCACCAACUCCAGUUCCUCCACCUCCGCCUCGCCGUCGAGAUCUCGCCGUCUCGCGCGCUCGAGCUCGACCUCGGCCUCACGCGCGCGCCAUGGCGACGCGGAACCGGACGCCGCUCUACCGCAAGUACCGCGACGCGCUGCGCCACGUCCGUUCGCCGGCCGGGGCGCCGUCGUCGUCUGGAGGAGGGGGAGGCGGCGGCGGACCGGUGAUCGAGAUGGCCUCGCUGCUGCGCUCCGACCGCCCCUACGCUCCUCUCAGCACCGACGACCCCUCCGCCUCCAGUAGAGGUGCCGUGACGGUCGGGCUGCCCCCGGCAUGGGUGGAUGUUUCCGAAGAGAUAUCUGCGAACAUGCAGCGGGCAAGGACGAAAAUGACUGAGCUGGCUAAGGCGCACGCCAAAGCCUUGAUGCCGUCCUUUGGCGAUGGCAGAGACGACCAGCGAGCAAUUGAGGUUCUCACACAUGAGAUAACUGACUUGCUUAAAAGGUCAGAGAAGAGGCUGCAGAAGCUGUCCAUGAAAGAUUCCUCGGAGGAUUCAAAUGUCCGAAAGAAUGUCCAGCGUUCUCUUGCUACAGACCUGCAAAACCUCUCGAUGGAAUUCCGUAAAAAGCAGUCAUCUUAUUUAAAACAGCUUCGCCGGCAGAAAGAGGGGCAAGAUGGCAUUGAUCUGGAAAUGAGUAUAAAUGGGACGAAGUCUACAUUUGAAGAUGACGAGUUUGAUGAUGUGGGUUUCACUGAGGUUCAGACGUCAAAACUUAAGAAAAGUGAAGCAUUCACUAGAGAAAGGGAGAGAGAAAUCGAACAGGUUGUUGAAUCAGUCAACGAGCUUGCACAGAUCAUGAAGGAUCUUUCAGUUCUUGUGAUCGAUCAGGGAACUAUCAUUGAUCGGAUAGACUACAACAUACAGAAUGUUGCAGCUUCAGUUGAGGAGGGUUACAACCAACUGCAAAAGGCUGAAAGGACACAGAAGAAAGGGGGCAUGGUGAUGUGUGUCACUGUCCUUGUCAUUCUGAUCUUCAUCAUGAUAAUCCUUCUGAUUUUGAAGAAGAUCAUUUUCUGACAUAGUCACAUUCUUUUUACGGUUGAUGGACGGCAUCCAAGUGAACGCUCAUCUACUCUUAUGUCUUAUUUGGAAAUACAAUGGGGAUUUUCAUUUCAGGUGUCGGCAAUCGGCGUCCUGAUGGCGUCAGUUCAUCACACAAUUUUCUCCGAUGGUUUCUGAGAUUUUUGCUGCAAUUAGCCUGUGCUGCUGGCCAAGUUACAACUUACAAGGGUUUGUUGGGAGCUGAAGGUCAAUCGGUCAAGAACCAAGAUCCUCCCAUUUCCUCAUUUUGACCAGCUGGUCCCGAGCCAUGCUUGCAGCAAUGUACUGGUUAUUGGUGAUGUAAGAUCUCUGUGCCCCACCUCUGUAUUCAAUUCAGCCUUGUGGUGUCCUUUUGUCCCCAUUUAUAAUGCCUCUGGCUGCCUCAGCUGUUGCUGUAACUUGGACAGGAGCUAUGUUUCUCUCCUACUAGGCACCUCUCCUAUUUAGUUUUUCUUUUCUAUUGGGGCGGAGUACAUCAUCACCCUCCCUGGCCUGGUACUAAUCCAGCAUAUUGGGGGGGGGGGGGGGGCAUUUUGUUUUGUUCUAGACUUGUAGCAUCUGAUACUAGAACUCAGUAUUCAUUCAUUUUUUUUGGGUUCUAUUCUAGCAUCAGAUAUUGAACUGUGAAUCUGUGAUAGGAUAAUAGCCGUACUGGAACCAGCA